rnacentral:misc_RNA from 1 species
GAUGAAGAACGUAGCGAAAUGCGAUACUUGGUGUGAAUUGCAGAAUCCCGUGAACCAUCGAGUCUUUGAACGCAAGUUGCGCCUCAAGCCAUUAGGUUGAGGGCACGUCUGCCUGGGCGUCACAUAUCGUUGCCUGAUGCCAGUUUCCUCGUGAUGGGUGACUGUGCAGGGCGAAUGAUGGCUUCCCGUGAGCAUUGUUGCCUCAUGGUUGGUUGAAAAUUGAGUCCUUGGUAGGGAGCGCCGUGAUAGAUGGUGGUUGAGUGACGAACGAGACCCAAUCAUGUGAGACCCCUACCGAAUUUGGCCUUCAUGACCCACAUGCGUCUUUGGAACGCUCAUGACGAGACCUCAGGUCAGGCGGGGCUACCCGCUGAGUUUAAGCAUAUCAAUAAGCGGACGA